rnacentral:rRNA from 1 species
ACUUCAUAGAGGGACAAAUGGCUUCCAGCCAUACGAGAUAGAGCAAUAACAGGUCUGUGAUGCCCUUAGAUGUCCGGGGCGCACGCGCGCUACACUGGCGCAAGCAGCGGGUNCNCUUCCCUCGGCCGACAGGUCUGGGUGAUCCGCUGAGAUUCCGCCGUGCUGGGGACAGGGACUUGUAAUUGUGUCCCUUGAACGAGGAAUUCCNAGUAAACGCGAGUCAUCAGCUCGCAUUGAU